rnacentral:rRNA from 1 species
AUACGAGGGGUCCUAGCGUUGUUCGGAAUCAUUGGGCGUAAAGCGGGUGUAGGCGGCUCGAUCAGUCAGAUGUGAAAUCCCUGGGCUCAACCCAGGACGUGCAUUUGAUACUGUCGAGCUUGAGUAUUGGAGGGGUUCGUAGAAUUUCUGGUGUAGCGGUGAAAUGCGUAGAUAUCAGAAGGAAUAUCGGUCGCGAAGGCGGCGAACUGGCCAAUACUGACGCUGAGGUGCGAAAGCGUGGGGAGCAAACAGAAUUAGAAACCCCAGUAGUCC